GAUGAACGCUGGCGGCGUGCCUAAUACAUGCAAGUCGAGCGAACGGACGAGAAGCUUGCUUUUCUGAUGUUAGCGGCGGACGGGUGAGUAACACGUGGAUAACCUACCUAUAAGACUGGGAUAACUUCGGGAAACCGGAGCUAAUACCGGAUAAUAUUUUGAACCGCAUGGUUCAAAAGUGAAAGACGGUCUUGCUGUCACUUAUAGAUGGAUCCGCGCUGCAUUAGCUAGUUGGUAAGGUAACGGCUUACCAAGGCAACGAUGCAUAGCCGACCUGAGAGGGUGAUCGGCCACACUGGAACUGAGACCCGGUCCAGACUCCUACGGGAGGCAGCAGGAGGGAAUCUUCCGCAAUGGGCGAAAGCCUGACGGAGCAACGCCGCGUGAGUGAUGAAGGUCUUCGGAUCGUAAAACUCUGUUAUUAGGGAAGAACAUAUGUGUAAGUAACUGUGCACAUCUUGACGGUACCUAAUCAGAAAGCCACGGCUAACUACGUG
rnacentral:rRNA from 1 species